UGUCGGCUCAUCGCAUCCUGGGGCUGGAGCAGGUCCCAAGGGUUGGGCUGUUCGCCCAUUAAAGCGGUACGUGAGCUGGGUUUAGAACGUCGUGAGACAGUUCGGUCCCUAUCUGUCGCGGGCGAAGGAGGUUUGACGGGAGCUGCCCCUAGUACGAGAGGACCGGGGUGGACGGACCUCUGGUGUGCGAGCUGUUCCGCCAGGAGCAUCGCUCGGUAGCUAUGUCCGGCAGGGAUAAGCGCUGAAGGCAUCUAAGCGCGAAACCCGCCUGAAGAUGAGACCUCCCAGGGCGCAAGCCCUCUGAAGGGCCCUCGUAGAUUACGAGGUUGAUAGGCCGGAGGUGUAAGCGCCGUAAGGCGUUCAGCUGACCGGUACUAAUCGCCCGUGCGGCUUGACCAC
rnacentral:rRNA from 1 species